ensembl:lncRNA
GCCUAGACCCAACACUAACCCCUGCCCUCCACCUAGACCCAACACUAACCCCUGCCCUCCGCCUGGACCCAACACUAACCCCUGUCCUUACUCCAGUUAUACCCAGACCUGUGGAUUAAUCCUUCAGAGAAAGUAUAUCUUGACAUGACCAGAUCAAUAAACAUGUCUGAAGAUGGACAUUCAUCUGUCUUUUAUUUUCCUUAAUAUUUUUUUGUAAAUCUGACACAUUUAUAUAUCAGAUUAUAUGUGAACUCAUGAUGUCGAGGUCAGCGUGACCCCAGGUCCCGUGUCAGGUAGUGGUCAGUUUAACCCCAGGUCCCUUGUCAGGUAGAGGUCAGUGUGACCCCAGGUCCCUUGUCAGGUAGAGGUCAGUUUAACCCCAGGUCCCUUGUCAGGUAGAGGUCAGUUUAACCCCAGGUCCCGUGUCAGGUAGAGUUCAGUGUGAACCCAGGUCUUAUUUGAUUUACAGAUCUGGUUGACCCCAGGUCCUGUAUAAGUUAGAGAUCCUGUUGACCCCAGGUCCUGUAUAAGUUAGAGAUCCGGUUGACCCCAGGUCCUGUAUAAGUUAGAGAUCUGGUUGACCCCAGGUCCUGUAUAAGUUAGAGAUCUGGUUGACCCCAGGUCCUGUAUAAGUUAGAGAUCUGGUUGACCCCAGGUCCUGUAUAAGUUAGAGAUCCGGUUGACCCCAGGUCCUGUAUAAGUUAGAGAUCUGGUUGACCCCAGGUCCUGGUUGAAGAAGAAAUGAUGGGCUGAUGGUUAGUCCACUGGAUGAUGAAAUAUUGUAGAACAGCUGCUUCUGUUAGUUGCUGGCUCACUCCGUCCCAUAUCACAUUCAGGCCACGACUUCCUCUAAACAUACAGACAGAAACAGGAAGUUGGUUUACAAAAGUAUCAUGACCUUUGUAUGGCAAGGAGAUACACUUCCACUACAGCACAGCUACUUCCACUAUCAGAAAAUGUGAAGUAGACCAAAGCAAAGCACGGCACUUUCUGUCUUAUCAAGAUUAGAGAUGGAAAAUGAGGGUCGUAGUUAACACUGGUAUUGGCUGGAAUAUUCAACAAGAUAUGCUGAUAAAGUUACCUGUGUGUGUGUGUGUGUGUGUGUGUGUGUG